rnacentral:tRNA from 1 species
GGGCUCGUAGCUCAGUCAGGCAGAGCACCGGGCUUUUAUUCAAAGCGAAUUGAGAAGAAACCCGAUGGUCGAGGGUUCAAAUCCCUCCGAGCCCG